GCCUGAGUCGCCAAUGAUAAGGCGGCGGUCUGCAAAACCGUCCAUCGCGGGUUUGAUUCCCGCCUCAGGCUCCA
rnacentral:tRNA from 1 species